AUUGAACGCUGGCGGCAUGCCUUACACAUGCAAGUCGAACGGCAGCACGGGUGCUUGCACCUGGUGGCGAGUGGCGAACGGGUGAGUAAUAUAUCGGAACGUACCUUAUUGUGGGGGAUAACGCAGCGAAAGCUGUGCUAAUACCGCAUAAUCCCUAAGGGGGAAAGCGGGGGACCGUAAGGCCUCGCGCAAUUAGAGCGGCCGAUACCUGAUUAGCUAGUUGGUGAGGUAAAGGCUCACCAAGGCAACGAUCAGUAGCUGGUCUGAGAGGACGAUCAGCCACACUGGGUCUGAGACACGGCGCGGACUCCUACGGGGGGCAGCAGUGGGGAAUUUUGGACAAUGGGGUCAACCCUGAUCCAGCAAUGCCUCGUGAGUGAAGAAGGCCUUCGGGUUGUAAAGCUCUUUUGUCAGGGAAGAAACAGCAGCUCUAACACAGUUUGCGAGUGACGGUACCUGAAGAAUAAGCACCGGCUAACUACGUGCCAGCCGCCGCCGUAA
rnacentral:rRNA from 1 species